rnacentral:tRNA from 1 species
AAGGCUUUAUGUUAAUUAAACAAAUAGCCUUCAAAGCUAUCAAUAAAAGUUUACCCUUUUAAGCCUUA